AAAGGGUGGGAUAGCAGCUCUGAAGCAGGCAAGGGUGGGAGAGAUUUCGGAUUUGGCAACCAAAAGCCUGAAAGCAACACUAGAAGCUAUGCAGACAGAUGAGUUUAUCGAAAGAGGAAAUGAGUAUAUGAGAGCAAAGAGCGAAGAACCAUGGGAAGUGAGAAAAGCUGGUGGGGGGAAGACAAGGAAGGAACAACUGCCUGUGAGCCUUGAACAAGCUACUUCCAUUUUCUGGCUCUUUAGUCUCCUCAUUUGUAAAAUGAGGGGGCUGGAGUAAGUAAGCUCUAUAAGGCUCUCAGCUGUGACAUCUAUGCAUAAUCACAGAAGAUCGAAGUGUACAGAACACCAUGGAAACUGAAGAGAGAUUCUGAAAGGAGGCUUUAAGAGGUCACUUGCAUCCAAUGCUGCAGAAGUGUCAGAGACUGAGGACUUAAAUGAAGCCACUGAUUAGCAAUUUAAAGAUCCUCUCCAAGGUAAGGACCCCUCCCUCUCAAGCCACUACUUUUCUAUGACCUUUCUCCUACCAUCUCUAAAUGUGAACAUUCUGUAAAAUUCCGACAGGGUCUCACUGAGUGCAGCGGCACGAUCUUGGCUCACUGCAACCUCCGCCUCCCAGGUCCAAGCGAUUCUCCUGCCUCAGCCUCCUGAGUAGCUGGCAUUACAGGUAUGAACCAUCAUGCCCAGCUAAUUUUUGUGAUUUUAGUAGAGACAGGGUUUCACCAUGUUGACCAGGCUGGUCUGGAACUCCUGACCUCAAGUGAUCCGUCUGCCUCGGCCUCCUAAAGUGCUGGGAUUACAGGCAUGAGCCACCGUGCCUGGCCGCUUUCUGCAUUUUUAGUGUCACUCAACCCUUGUUGUCUCUGAUUGUCAAGGCAACGACUACGUGUAAAGUAAUGUGGACAGAGUCUUGGACAGAGAAAUGCCUCAGAAAUGUUUUGUGAUGAAGAUGAAGGAGAGGCGCUGGAAGCAGAAACUGGGGAGGGGGUAGGAUUCGUGUCUCCACUUACUCUCCACCCCAGCAGGGACAGAAAGCAUGCCUCCUCUUUCCUGUUCAUUGGCUACAUUCCUCUCUGAGGCCAGAGGGGCAAGCUGGACAAUGCAAAUGAACUUUGGAUGAGACUUAGCCAAGGGGCCUCCAAAGGGAGAGCAGCGGGGCUGCUUAGGAGGGAAUAAAAAAAUAAGGUGGUCACCUAUUUCUUAGCACCUUCUUUGUUUUCCCAAUCGGCAAACUCCUGUCCUCUCCUGGAGAUCCAAGACCAAAAUGCAAAAGCUCCCUCAGAAUAUGUGCCUGAGUCUGAGAGCACUUUGCAGACUGGGAGGCCCCUGAGUCUCUAGCCUUUGGUAUGAUACUCAGGCUCCGGGGAAUUGAUCCUGCACCCAUUAUUCACAAAGCCCUAUACAAGGCAGUGUUAAACUUAGGUCAAACUGCAAGUUUUCAAUCACAUGCUUUAGCUGUGGGAUAAAGAGACACAGCAGAGAAGUGGUGAUGGUUGUGUGAGCAUCAAAGAGCAAAUGAGACUACAAGAAGCAGCCCAAAGGGGGCAAAUUUAGCCAGUCUCUUGCCAACUUCUCACUAUGGAUGUUCUAUUGGCUUCAUUUGACCCUAUCCAGGAAAGCUAGGAUUUCUUGUGCAGGUGGAAGUCCAUUCAUUCGCCUAUUUCAGGGGUCUGGGUCCAGAAGAGCUUGUUAGUUCAGUCUCAGCUCCCUACUUUUCUUACUCCCCCUUCCUUUCCCCCUCCUCCUAUUAACGACUGAAGGUCUGUUUCCUCUUUAGGGCUGCAAUUUUGCAUUUGCAGCCCCCGGCAAAACUGUCAUACGUGCCCACCGCAGGUGCCCACUGCAGAUGCCCGAGACCCAGAGAAAUGUUUGUAAACUUUCAACCCUGACUGUACUCCCCCGGACUCCUCCCUCAGUGGGGCCGGCUGUUGGGGCAAGGCAGCUGACCUUUGCUAGGGACUCAGAGCUGCGGGGGUUCUGGAAUUGAACUGGAAAUUGAGUGGCAAAAGCCCCGCUGUCGUUUCUCCUGCCCCUGCUCCCACCCCGAUCUUGUGGACGAGAAAAAGCUCAAAGAACAGUGAGGGGUUAAGCUCCUUAUAAGGAAAUGAACCUCCUCUUUCCUGUACGGAAAUUGUGCUUUUUGCUUCUAUAUGUUCAAAAUACACUGUAAAAAAACGAUCCUCGAUAGGAUUCACCAAAUCCACUUCCCUAGGGCGAGGCGGCGGAGGUGGGGGGUGGGCGUCGAGUGGGAGCGAGGAGAGAGAGGACGGGAGGGGCGGGAAUCAGGCGAGUGUGUGAAGAAUUUGAGGGAUGAGUCAUCAAAAACAAACUGGGAAAGGGAGCGGAACUAGUAAUCCGAGCUGGGAAGCAGACGAACAUUCAUUAGACGCAGAUCGUGUCAAUCACGUUUGCUCCGCAAAUGACCUGAGAGCCUGCCGGGCCUCUCCGACCGGAAAAAGGGUUUUGGUGGGCGGUCUAAAGAUUUUGAAAUCGGAAAAGGCAGAUUGCUAGCGAGCCGUCAGAGCAGCUUGCCGCAGCUCAGGCGGGCUCCGCAGAAAGAUGGCGUUUGCUAUCAAGGUCACAUGGCCACUUUAGGGGACUAAAACGAAAUACUAGCUGAGAACAACAGGAACUGCCAGCACAGGAUCAGAUUUUCAGAAGCAGUCUCAAUUCUAAGUGUCUUUUUCUAAUUAGAAUCGUAAGCACAUUUUUUUGUAUUUGUCCGAACACAUGUCCUAAGUCAUCAAAACUAUGUGAAGGGGUGGAGUUUCACUGGGGGUCUUCUCUUUCCGGGAGCCUGAAAAGGAUGGGAGGAGGGUGGGGGAAACCCAAGGGCCAGGGUAACCGCAGAACCGGAAAGCAGCACGUGCCAGGACAGAAGGCACCCACUAGGGUCUCUGCACUGAGAGCAGUAUGGGAAACCGAUUCCACCAGGGACUGUGAAACUCACUAGAUCUGUUAGGCUGGUGCAAAAGUAAUGGCGGUUUUUGCCGUUAAAGGUAAUUGCAAAAACCGCCAUUACUUUUGCACCAACCUUCAGGUUCGGGUCUACGCAGCUUUGUCUAACCUCUGACCUCUCAUGAGUUGGGAAAGGUUACCCUGGCAAAAAAGGAUUUGCUUAGGUGCCCUAUACAUUGUACCAGAUAACUUCCUCUAUGAUUUUUUUUUUUUUUUUUGAGAUGGAGUUUUCACUCUUGUUGCCCA
rnacentral:lncRNA from 1 species